rnacentral:rRNA from 1 species
CGUAGGGGGCAAGCGUUGUCCGGAUUUAUUGGGCGUAAAGAGCUCGUAGGCGGUUCGGUAAGUUGGGUGUGAAACCUCCAGGCUCAACCUGGAGACGCCACCCGAUACUGCUGUGACUAGAGUCCGGUAGGGGAGCGUGGAAUUCCUGGUGUAGCGGUGAAAUGCGCAGAUAUCAGGAGGAACACCAGCGGCGAAGGCGGCGCUCUGGGCCGGAACUGACGCUGAGGAGCGAAAGCGUGGGUAGCAAACAGG